GACGAACGCUGGCGGCGUGCUUAACACAUGCCAGUCGAACGGUAAGGCUCCAGCUUGCUUGGGCACACGAGUGGCGAACGGGUGUGUGACACGUGGGUGUCCUGCCCUGCACUUCGGGAUAAGCCUUGGAAACUGGGUCUAAUACCGGAUAGGACCUCAUCGUGAGGGUGUGGUGGAAAUUUUUUUCGGUGUGGGAUGGGCCCGCGGCCUAUCAGCUUGUUGGUGGGGUAAUGGCAUACCAAGGCGGUGACGGAUAGCCGGCCUGAGAGGGUGGACGGCCACAUUGGGACUGAGACACGGCACAGACUCGUACGGGACGCAGCAGUGGAGAAUAUUACACAAUGGGCGGAAGCGAGAUGCAGAGACGCCGCGUGGGGGAUGACGGCCUUCGGGUUGUAAACUCCUGUCACCAUAGACGAAGGGUUUCUGACGGUAGAUGGAGAAGAAGCACCGGCUAACUACGUG
rnacentral:rRNA from 1 species